CGCGGGAUAGAGCAGUGGCAGCUCGUGUGGCUCAUAACCACAAGGUCGUUGGUUCGAAUCCAACUCCCGCAACCA
rnacentral:tRNA from 1 species